rnacentral:lncRNA from 1 species
GAGAAUACGCGUCACAUCAGGGUUUUCAUGAGUGUACAUCUGUACUUCGGUUGCUUGCUCUGGCCUCUCCUUCUGUCCCUGCACUCCUCAGACUCACCUUUGGGAAGAAGUAGAAUUUCAGAUGGUGUAACCUUCAUACGGGGGACCCUGGAGGAUGCCGUGUGUCACAGAAAACCCACUGCACUGCCGGCCCUUAGAGAAGAGGCUGAAAAUGCCUGUGCAGCGACCUCAGUGACCAAGGCCACCCAGGGAGCAGCUCGCUGUACUAAUAAAUGUCAGGAAGCGCAUGGUCACACUCUGAGCACCUCUGGAACUGCAGAGGCCAAAGGAUGGAUGGACAGAGAGAAGGGCGUGGACAGGAGUCCACCUGUCCCUGGUGUCUGUUCAGACCAGAGUGCAGAAGGUAAAAUGGGAGAGUGCCACGACCCACACAGCCUAGGGUCCGAGGCUGGGAAGAGCAGCAGGAGAUGAAGAAAAAUGAAGAAACCAAGC